rnacentral:rRNA from 1 species
CGGCGGNGGCUCAACACAUCGCAAGUCGAGCGCCCCGCAAGGGGAGCGGCAGACGGGAGAGUAACACGUGGGAACGUGCCCUUCAGUUCGGAACAACCCAGGGAAACUUGGGCUAAUACCGGAUACGUCCGUAAGGAGAAAGAUUUAUCGCUGAAGGAUCGGCCCGCGUCUGAUUAGCUAGUUGGUGGGGUAACGGCCCACCAAGGCGACGAUCAGUAGCUGGUCUGAGAGGAUGAUCAGCCUCACUGGGACUGAGACACGGCCCCAGUACUCCUACGGGAGGCAGCAGUGGGGAAUAUUGGACAAUGGGCGCAAGCCUGAUCCAGCCAUGCCGCGUGGGUGAUGAAGGCCCUAGGGUUGUAAAGCCCUUUCGGCGGGGAAGAUAAUGACGGUACCCGCAGAAGAAGCCCCGGCUAACUUCGUGCCAGCAGCCGCGGUAAUACGAAGGGGGCUAGCGUUGCUCGGAAUUCACUGGGCGUAAAGCGCACGUAGGCGGCUUCUUAAGUCAGGGGUGAAAUCCUGGAGCUUCAACUUCCAGAACUGCCUUUGAUACUGAGGAGCUCGAGUUCCGGGAGAGGUGAGUGGAAACUCCCGAAGUGUAAGAAGGUCG